UUUCUCUCUUAGGCAGCCCACCUCUAUCUCCUCCACCUUCUCCCCCUAAUACCUCCACCUUCUUCACCAUGUCCACCUCCUUCACCUUCUACAAACUCUGCCUCCACCUUCUUCACCCCACCACCUUCACCUCCUCCUCUACCUCCAACUCUUUCACCUCCUCCCCCUACCACCUCCACCUUCUUCACCAUGUCCACCUCCUUCACCUUCUACAAACUCCACCUCUUCCACCUAAACCUCCUUCACCACGUUGACUUCCUCCACCUCCUCCUCCUUCACCUCCUCAACAACAACAAAUUCCACCUCCACCACCUAUCCUACACCUUCAACUCCUUCACCAUGUCCACCUCCUCCUCCACCGCCUUCACCUCAACCACCUCCUACCAACUCAACUCCCUCCACCUCCUCCACCUUAUCCACCACCUUCAUCUCCUCCACCUCCACCAAACUCCAGUUCCUCCACCUUAUCCACUUCCACCUACUCCACCCCUACAUGCCCCUCCACCUCCACCACUUCACCGCUGACAAAUUCCUCCUCCUCCACCUCCACCCCUUCAUCUCCUCCACGAUCAGUGACACAGAAGGUCUGAAAAAAUGAUCAGGCCUCCUAACCGUGCCCCAUAAAAACACACAAGAAAUGUCUGGAGGGAAAAAAGGAGGGAAAUACAAAGUGGGCAGGAGGAGAGAGGACGCUUCUGUAAACAGAACUCCCAGGUGGUCUGGAACGGACGGAGAGUUGAUCAGCGGCAGCUCAAUUCAUACUGACAAUCGCGUGUGUCCAUGUCUCAUUUCUUUCUUCACAUCAACAAUACAAUGUCGGAACAGGUGACGUGUCUCUGACUCAGAUGUCAAAGAGCAUUGUGCAUGAUUCACCUCGUGCUAAGGAUUUCCUGGACAGGUUACACUUGUACCUGCUGUUGUGAAGGAAAAGAAACUGCUGCGGCGUUGCUUUAGUGAUAAGUGAAAUUACUCUCUCUCUCUCUCUCUCUCUCUC